AGUGAACGCUGGCGGUAUGCCUAACACAUGCAAGUCGAACGGCAGCACAGUAAGAGCUUGCUCUUACGGGUGGCGAGUGGCGGACGGGUGAGGAAUACAUCGGAAUCUACUUUUUCGUGGGGGAUAACGUAGGGAAACUUACGCUAAUACCGCAUACGACCUACGGGUGAAAGCAGGGGAUCUUCGGACCUUGCGCGAUUGAAUGCGCCGAUGUCGGAUUAGCUAGUUGGCGGGGUAAAGGCCCACCAAGGCGACGAUCCGUAGCUAGUCUGAGAGGAUGAUCAGCCACACUGGAACUGAGACACGGUCCAGACUCCUACGGGAGGCAGCAGUGGGGAAUAUUGGACAAUGGGCGCAAGCCUGAUCCAGCCAUACCGCGUGGGUGAAGAAGGCCUUCGGGUUGUAAAGCCCUUUUGUUGGGAAAGAAAAGCAGCAGGUUAAUACCCCGCUGUUCUGACGGUACCCAAAGAAUAAGCACCGGCUAACUUCGUG
rnacentral:rRNA from 1 species